UACGUAGGGUGCGAGCGUUAAUCGGAAUUACUGGGCGUAAAGCGUGCGCAGGCGGUUCGUUAAGUUCGAUGUGAAAGCCCCGGGCUCAACCUGGGAACUGCGUUUGAAACUGAGGGGCUAGAGUGUGGAAGAGGGGGGUGGAAUUCCAGGUGUAGCAGUGAAAUGCGUAGAGAUCUGGAGGAACACCGAUGGCGAAGGCAGCCCCCUGGGCUAACACUGACGCUCAUGCACGAAAGCGUGGGGAGCAAACAGG
rnacentral:rRNA from 1 species